GCUUAACACAUGCAAGUCGAACGCAUCCUUCGGGGUGAGUGGCAGACGGGUGAGUAACACGUGGGAACGUACCUUUCGGUUCGGGAUAACCCAGGGAAACUUGGGCUAAUACCGGAUACGUCCUUUGGGAGAAAGAUUCAUUGCCGAAAGAUCGGCCCGCGUCUGAUUAGCUAGUUGGUGAGGUAAUGGCUCACCAAGGCGACGAUCAGUAGCUGGUCUGAGAGGAUGAUCAGCCACACUGGGACUGAGACACGGCCCAGACUCCUACGGGAGGCAGCAGUGGGGAAUAUUGGACAAUGGGCGCAAGCCUGAUCCAGCCAUGCCGCGUGAGUGAUGAAGGCCCUAGGGUUGUAAAGCUCUUUUGUGCGGGAAGAUAAUGACGGUACCGCAAGAAUAAGCCCCGGCUAACUUCGUGCCAGCAGCCGCGGUAAUAC
rnacentral:rRNA from 1 species